GGGCUCUUAGCUUAGACAGGUAGAGCGCCCGGCUCAUAACCGGGUGGUCGUCGGUUCAAAUCCGACAGGGCCCA
rnacentral:tRNA from 1 species